rnacentral:rRNA from 1 species
GUGAGGAAUUUUGCGCAAUGGGGGCAACCCUGACGCAGCGACGCCGCGUGGAGGACGAAGUCUUUCGGGAUGUAAAUUCCUGUCAGUGGGGACGAUAAUGACGGUACCCACAGAGGAAGCACCGGCUAACUCCGUGCCAGCAGCCGCGGUAAGACGGAGGGUGCAAGCGUUGUUCGGAAUUACUGGGCGUAAAGCGUAUGUAGGCGGCAAGUUAAGUUCAAUGUUAAAGCCCACGGCUCAACCGAGGAGAUGCAUUGAAUACUGGCUAGCUAGAGGGUGUUAGAGGAAGACGGAAUUCCCAGUGUAGCGGUGAAAUGCGUAGAUAUUGGGAGGAACAUCGGUAGCGAAAGCGGUCUUCUGGGACAUACCUGACGCUGAGGUACGAAAGCGUGGGGAGCAAACGGGAUUAGAAACCCCGGUAGUCC